AUUGAACGCUGGCGGCAUGCCUUACACAUGCAAGUCGAACGGCAGCACGGGUGCUUGCACCUGGUGGCGAGUGGCGAACGGGUGAGUAAUACAUCGGAACAUGUCCUGUAGUGGGGGAUAGCCCGGCGAAAGCCGGAUUAAUACCGCAUACGAUCUACGGAUGAAAGCGGGGGACCUUCGGGCCUCGCGCUAUAGGGUUGGCCGAUGGCUGAUUAGCUAGUUGGUGGGGUAAAGGCCUACCAAGGCGACGAUCAGUAGCUGGUCUGAGAGGACGACCAGCCACACUGGGACUGAGACACGGCCCAGACUCCUACGGGAGGCAGCAGUGGGGAAUUUUGGACAAUGGGCGAAAGCCUGAUCCAGCGAUGCCGCGUGUGUGAAGAAGGCCCUCGGGUUGUAAAGCACUUUUGUCCGGAAAGAAAUCCUUGGCCCUAAUACGGUCGGGGGAUGACGGUACCGGAAGAAUAAGCACCGGCUAACUACGUG
rnacentral:rRNA from 1 species